GAAGUCCUGAUGUGUUCGUUGUACACCUAGUUUUGACCUAACAUUUUUUAUACGGGAGCCCAAGUUUUCCGGUGGAGUACAUGCCUUAUUCUGUAAGGACUUACGAGUAUCGGGAACAGGGCACCCACCUGCGGUGAGCGGGAUCAAAACAAGGAAACGGCGACGGCACGAUUGGGACUUCU
rnacentral:other from 1 species